rnacentral:rRNA from 1 species
AUUGAACGCUGGCGGCAGGCUUAACACAUGCAAGUCGAGCGGGGUGAUGGUGCUUGCACUAUCACUUAGCGGCGGACGGGUGAGUAAUGCUUAGGAAUCUGCCUAUUAGUGGGGGACAACAUCUCGAAAGGAAUGCUAAUACCGCAUACGUCCUACGGGAGAAAGCAGGGGAUCACUUGUGACCUUGCGCUAAUAGAUGAGCCUAAGCCGGAUUAGCUAGUUGGUGGGGUAAAGGCCUACCAAGGCGACGAUCUGUAGCGGGUCUGGGAGGAUGAUCCGCCACACUGGGACUGAGACACGGCCCAGACUCCUACGGGAGGCAGCAGUGGGGAAUAUUGUACAAUGGGGGGAACCCUGAUCCAGCCAUGCCGCGUGUGUGAAGAAGGCCUUAUGGUUGUAAAGCACUUUAAGCGAGGAGGAGGCUCUUUUGGUUAAUACCCAAGAUGAGUGGACGUUACUCGCAGAAUAAGCACCGGCUAACUCUGUGCCAGCCGCCGCCGUAA